GGUGGGCAGAGCUAUAGGUGUCCCCACUCCCAGUGGCCCACAUCCUAAUCAAAGGUGAAGGGCCCCUCAAGCACCCGGACAGUGUGUUUAAGCCCCCCCUAGUCUCAGGACCCCAGAUCUGCCCCCGCCCAGACUCAACCCUGGAAGCCCCUAGUUGUUGAGAAAAGGCCGCAGCCCCCCUGGCCCUGCCUUCCCUUACCACCCUCUGCCGCCCCCACUGAGAGAGAACCCCCAGGAGCCCAACAGUCCCAACUGCCAGGUCCUCGGUUGCCAUGGCGACAGAAGCUGGCAGGGAGAGGGAGGGGCCCCACCAACCUGCCUGCUCCCCCCGCCCCCGGGGACCCCCAUAAGCAGCUCCCAGGCCACUUGGAAGACACUUGAAGGGGGCUGGUGAAAUGGCCCCGUGCCUCUGCUCCUUUCUCGAAAGGCAAUGAUGCCCCGAAUCUGCCUGGCGCCAGAUCUCCAAGCCACCUGUCCCCAGAUAGGGAGACCCUCUUCCUGCCCCCAGACCCGUCCGGAGUCCCAGAGCCCCCAGACCCCCACACACCCCCUUCUGGCUUCCUGGCCUGCGCCCCCUCCCAGCCCCGCACACCCCAGCAGAGUCCCUGGGCAGCACAGUAAAGAUGACUGGUUUCGGUAUCAGUGUGUAAACUUUUAAGGAGAACGUGUCUUUGUUUUCCUGUCCGUUAUUGUCGGGUGGGGGUUGUUCACAGUCAGGUGGUGGUCAGGUGUGUGCGUGGGUGCGUGCGUGCGGGUGUGCGUGUG